rnacentral:rRNA from 1 species
AAACGUAGGGGGCGAGCGUUGUCCGGAAUUACUGGGCGUAAAGGGUGCGUAGGCGGCUGUUUAAGUCCCGUGUGAAAGGCCCCGGCUUAACCGGGGAGAGCCACGGGAAACUGGACGGCUUGAGUGCCGGAGAGGGUGGCGGAAUUCCCGGUGUAGCGGUGAAAUGCGUAGAGAUCGGGAGGAACACCAGUGGCGAAGGCGGCCACCUGGACGGUAACUGACGCUGAGGCACGACAGAUGGGGGAGCAAACAGGAUUAGAUACCCUGGUAGUCCCAGCCGUAAACGAUGAGUGCUAGGUGUUGCGGGUAUCGACCCCUGCAGUGCCGCAGUUAACGCAAUAAGCACUCCGCCUGGGGAGUACGGCCGCAAGGCUGAA